AGCUACUAAACCGAUAAAGCACAAUCAGCUCCCCUUGCUAGGAAGUGACAAAUGCGCCUUAGGGCACAGUAUCGAUGAUGUGCGGAUCACGGUCUCUAACGGCGCACAGCGGGGCCAUUAUCGUGUGUUGUCACCGCGUGCCAUUAAAAGGACUUUAAUCUGCCGAUCGCCGCCGCGAUACGCGGCUCCUGCCAGGGAUCUACUGACUAACAGGCCGGGACGCUGCGAAACCCCCCAUCCCCCGGGGUCGCCUGAAAAACACGGCCCGGCUCCCCCGUCAGUCAAUCGCGGCAACUCAAUUAAUGCAUCUGGGUCAGGAAAAUGGUUUGCGGGAGCCUGAGCCCGGUUACGAAACGCAGAUACCGCGGCGGGUACCGCGGGCGGCGGCGGAGGGCAGCACCCGCUGAGCCCAGUUCUGAAUAACAGCACCAGAUUCUGUCCUGGUGUCCCUGGAACACCUGGACAUUUUCCUAAGAUUUCUCCUACAUCUGCCCUGAAGCAAAUGCAAGCAGAACUGAGGAAUCUCAGCCUCUUCUCCAGAGCUGGCAGAAGUUGCCUGUUGUCAUUGCAGGUCUGGUAAGAGACUGGUCAGCCUGCCCAGCCCUUUACCUCGUCUCUGACAGCAGCCACUGGUAGGUAUGCGGGGAGGGACCCUAACAAGCCUCUUGCCUGGGGUUCUCCUAGUCCAUUGACCCAGCUGCAGACACUGGAUUAUUUGUAUCAGACAUAAGAGCCCUGAAGCAACACUGUUCGCCUCCUUUUGGCAGAGACCACUCCAAAGAGUUACAGUUUGGAAACAGUAUUGAAAAAGUAUCAUGCAGCUAUUUAAGUGGAAUAGGAAUCCUGGAUGUCCUCACCUUAUGGACAGGGGGAUGAGGAAAUCUCAAGUGUGAGGGAGGUGGACUAUAGCCGACAUGGAUGCUGCUGAGGGAGGUCACUGUGUGGAACUUCUGCUGCAAUGGAAAGGGAUGUUAUGUUAGCGUGACACAACAGCGUAGGACGAGGCAAAGCACUGUAGGAUGAGGGUCACAUCAGGACCUGCUUAUUCUGCUACUAACCUUAGGGUACAACUGGCAGGCCCUGAUUCUCAGUGGGAGGAUGAAAGAAGUGGGAGGAUGUUCUGGGAGACCCAGAGCAAUCUUUACUUUACACAGUACAGAGGACAAGGAGCAAUGUGAAGAAUGCCACAGAGGCCACAGUCAGACCAAGGGCUGAUAAAUAGCCAUACUCAAGGUGGAAAACUGAGACCAUGCACACAGUGAAAGGACUUUAAGGUACACUGCAUGAAUUUUGAGCCAAUGUGUUUUCUCUUGAUGUGGAACCUAGGUCUCCUUCUCCUCCUCUAAACAAUGGCUCCUCUUCACCUCUUCAGAAAACAAGAUGAUUGAUUUUUAAAGCUGCCAUGCAUUUUACAAUAGCAAGUUAGUGAUAGAAAGAGAAAAAAUUACAACAAAUUAGUGUUUUGGCAAGUAGAAUUAGGCUGUAUAAAACAAUAACAUUAGAAAAACCAAUUCAUUGCAGAUAAAGUCUAUGACAACAAAUCUUCAAACAACCAAAGAACACAAGACUGGUACUUAGAGCACAUCUUGUGCCCACCUCAGUGCCACUGCAGGCAGAGGUCUUGAUUUUUAAGGACAACCUGUUGCAUGUUUUACACAGGUAUCUGUUACAUGAGCACAUUAAAGAUCUAGCUCCAGCUUAGAAGCCUGUUUUCUGGAGCAGAUGUGAUGCUUCCUGUGAUGCUGGGGAAUGGAGUGGAUGUGAACUGCUCACUCAGAUACUGCUUGUUUCUUGGAUGAGCAGCUUUUCUUCCCUCGUGGAGUAUUUUUCUGCUUUGCACCCACAUCCCUUCCUUCAGGAGGAGCAAACUUAGCACUGUUUCCUGGAGACACCCGUUGCUGGUCCCUCUCAAGUUCCUUCAGUGAGAAGCCUUGUGUCCUUCACAACCACACAACAAUUUCCUAAGCCAUUGGGUGAGGAGCUCUGUUCCCCUAAACAGAGGAGCAGCAAAUGCUUGUGGACUCUGUGUCAGGCUUACCAGCUCUAACAAGCACCACUUGUCAGGCCCCUAACACACUCUCCUACCCUUCCAAGGCUCUUGAAUGCCUAGGCUUGGGGCCAGCUUAGGUAAGGGUUGCAGGUGUCACAUCUUGAAUCAAAGGUUUGAGAAAACACUGUGAGAAGCCUUGAUGGGAAUGGCCACUCUCCUCUGUGCUUUUAAGCUGACCACUCUACCUCUGCUCUCUGCCUAAGCUACUCUGUAGCUACAUCACAGACAUGCCUGUGCCCAUUCCUGUGCUCCAGGCUGGCCACCUACCCGAGAUGGACACAGCCCAAGGAACGCAAGAAGCAUAUGAAGCUUGUUCACAAAUCCUCCCUGGCACUGGAAACAAAGCACCAUAUGUUCGAGCAGCCAGAGCAAAAGGAUGCAUCCAAGGCAAAGGGAGUCAAGAGCAGAAGGGCAAGGGAGGUACACAGGGAAGGCAUCAGGACAUCUGCUUCAUGAUUCUCCUCCUCCUUAUGGCCACUGGUGGGUAACACCAGGGGGUGCCUCUCUGACUUCACUUCCUGAUAUCCUGCCCCUAAGGUGGCUACUCUUUAUGAGCAUCUUCCCCUCUCCUGCUGCUUUUGGACAUCAUCACUUCCCUCCUCUUUGCUUUAGGCUUUCCUAGCCCCUUGCUGUGUUAGCUGCCUGCUCAGCCCAGUGUGUAGGUGAAACCAACAGCUGUAUCAGCAACAAGCACUGGGAACGAGGAGAUCAGGUCCUGUACAUGUGCCAUUGUCCCCAGAGCAGAGCAUGGCAGGCAAGCCCCCACCCCACUGUCACUGAUACAUAAGUCACAAAGGUCGCCUGCAUCACUGGUCUGUCACACUGGGUCUGCUGGCUCAGACUGUAGAUAUUCAGAGUUUUAACUAACAUGGAAACAAGUAGGGCUUUCUUUUUUGAACACGUAUAGUUGAGGCUAAUAAAGUUUUGCAUCAGUUUAUUGUUUUGUGUGAGCUUAUUGCCUUUGAAAUGUGUGAUUUCCAACAUGUAUAGUCGAGGCUGAUAAAGUUUUGUAUCAGUUCAUUGCCUUUGAAAUGUAUGAUUUUCAUGUUUGUCCUGAAUGUCAUCUGUUAACAUUUCUUCUUUUCCUGGACAACCAAUAAAAAAAUGCUUGUAUUAGGAAUUGAGAUAAAUGCUUUAUUGACUCAUUUGAAAUACCCUUUUUUGUGAUGUAAAGUCAUUUAUAUUCAACGCUCAAUCUCAUAUGGCAAAAGAAAACAUAAAAAGGGUCAGCAUAAACAUCAGCACUGCAACACACCAUGAAAAUGAUCUCUGAAGAACCCCCUACACUGUCCAGCUCCUCCUGGGACUUCUGACCUGCUCAAGAGUCACAGAUCUGUACCAGAACAUCCCAUGUCUUCCUGCCAUCAUGCUGGGCUCAUGAAUGAGGGAUGGAAAGCAUGCCUUCAGUCCCUGGGAAUCACUGCAGGCAUCCCAGUGACACUUGUGUUGAAUGUCCCCUCUGAGACAGAAGAACUCAGCAAGUCUCUUAUUCAUCACUUUGAUGCCUGAGAAUCUACAGGUUUUAGAAAAUGAAGUCUCCCUGACUCUUCCCUUUUUCCAUUUCAGUGUUUUCCUUCCACCUUGCAUUUUGCAGUCCUCUCAGCCUACAGACCUGUGCAGGAUCUUUUAUCCCACAACCUUUUGGGAGGUUGUCAUGCAGCAGUUGCACAAUGUACAUAAGUAAAGAAGCUACAAGGACUGCACGAGUCACACAAAACCAAACUAAAUUACACACUGUUUUUUACUAGGUUCUGAUGACUUCAGAAGCACAGCAAGGGCCUCUGUAAUACUUAUGAAUUACUCACAUAGUAUUAUUUCAGUGCAGGAGCAGGAUAGAAUAGUCACACAGGGGGUGCUCUACGGAUGUGGUACCGUACAGAAAGACCUCACUAUUUCCAUGCAGGAAUAAAAGAACCAGGCGUGGAAGCAGACCAUAAAACUGCUCUGCCCAGAUCUGCAGGGGAAUCAAACAGAUGGCAGAUCCCACUGCAGUUUGGAUAAAGAUUUCAUAGCUAGAUAAUCAAGAAAAUAGUAAAGUGGUUUCAAGGUCAGCAAUGAGGUGAAAACCAGAUUUUCUUCAGCUAGGAGCAUCUACAGCCUUUCUCACACAUUUAGAGGAAAUGCACCAAACUCAGAAAUUCCUUCACUACCAGGAGCAAAAGCCAUCAGUGUAAGAAGAUAUUGCUACAGGGGAGAAUUUUCUUGGUUAACUAGCUUUUUUAAAAUUAAAAUUAAAACUAUUAUUUAUAAAUAGUUGUGCAUGACUAUUUAUGCGAGUAUAUGUUAGUAUGUUUUUUUAAAUUCAAUUAAACCUGCAGGUGGUCAUACACCAGAUUGUAAAUAAUAUUAGUUAUGAAUUUUGGCAACCAAAAUGAUUUUCAAAUAAUGGUUAUUGUUAUUGAAUUUGUUCUGGGACCAACACGCAUGUAGAGCUGUUGGCAGAUGAUUCUUUUCCUCUGUGCUUGUGUCUUUCAUGCCCUCACGAAUCCCUGAAUUGAGAAGUUAUAGCUUUAAAUGGAAAAUAUCCUCCCUGAUUUGUUGUGUUCU